rnacentral:lncRNA from 1 species
GGCAGGCGUGCAGGGGCAAGGCAGGUGCGUAAGAGCGAGGCAGAUGCGCAGGUGCGCGGACCAGGUGAGGGCGAACGGGGAACUGCCUGAGCUCCGAGCCCGGAAGCUUCAAAAUCAGAACGAGGAAGGUCGGUGAGGAGGCCACGCUCGCGGGACGGGGGCAGGAAGCGCAGCCGGAGCUGCAGAUCUCGGCCGCGCCCCGCGGGCUCCAAUCCCGAGCGUCCCCCGCACGCGCAGCCGCGCUCGCCCGCGGGGCCUAAGGGCUGCUCAGGGCGGAGACCCCGUAGCCAGCCUCCAGCAUCGCCUCCUCUGGGAUCUUCUCUGACUUCCCAGUCGGUUUCAGAAGCCUCUGAUGACCCCAUGCGGAGAAGACUGCUCCCCUCACUGCUGGCACACGGCAGAUGCUCAACACUUGCUCCAGCUUCGCCUUCCGCCGCGAGUUGAAGCUCCCCGAGGCCUCCUCAGAAGCAGAAGCCACCACGCUUCCUGUACAGCCUGUGGGACCCGGAGCCAGUUCAACCUCUUUUCUUUAUAAAUUACCCAGACUCGGCCGGGCACGGUGGCUCACGCCUGUAAUCCCAGCACUUUGUUGAGACCGAGGCAGGCAGAUCACGAGGUCAGGAGAUCGAGAACAUCCUGGCUAACACGGUGAAACCCCGUCUCUACUAAAAAUACAAAAAAUUAGCCGGGCGUGGUGGCGGGCGCCUGUGGUCCCAGCUACUCGGGAGGCUGAGGCAGGAGAAUGGUGUGAACCCGGG